CUCGCCGACCCCCGCACGGUCAGCGCCCACGGCUCGGCCACGCGCAGCCCUUUGGCUGGGUCCCGGGACGCUGGGAGUAGGCGACCGGCGGAAGGCGGCGCCGCGGCCCGGCAGGAGAGGUGGAGGCCGUUGGCGAGGCGCGGAGCCCCAGGCCCGGCCACGAGCGGCGCGUCGCGAGCGCAGCGUCCCGGGCGCGCGAGGGUGAACGCGCAGCGCAGGCCGAGGCGCGGGCCCCACGCGAUUUCGCCUCGGCGCCCAAGAGGACAACAUCGAGGCUCGCCUGGGCCAGAGAAGCUGCUCCGCAGCGGGCGAUUCAGGCCCACGCCCCUCACGCACCUGAGAGGAGCUUGGCGGUGUAAACAGGCCUAGGGGUCCCCAUCCGCAUUGGGCAGCCAAGCAUCGGGGGCGUGUCCUCCGCCGCCCCCACUGGCUCAGCGGGAAGAUGCAAACGGACCCGGGACUCGUGUAUCGGUGCUUGUGUGAUAAACAUAUCACCGGCAGAGCUGCAGUCGGUGCGGUUCUGUACACAGAAGUCCUCGAGAGAAAUGCUUGUGGGCUGCUCUCCCAACUGCAUCCCUCUGGCGGAUCCAGGGGAGGGAGCCCCAUCUGGGUGCCACGUGGCUGCUACAGUGAUGCAGAGCCCAGGAAGGACACAGUCCAACACCCCACCUCCUCCUGGCUCCACGCAGCAGGCUGAUGGGUCCCGGGAGGGAGGGACAGACUGACGGCUCUGAUGCAGUUAGAAGGACACAUCCAUCUUCCUGACUCGGCAUGACCUAGAAAAAUCCAUAGCAUCAGAACUUGGUAUUUGCAAACAAGCACAAGGAUCCUAUCAUUUUAAGCUGAGGUUCCAGUUGCCAUGUGACAAGUAUCUGUGACCACUUGGUUCUCAGACUGAGAGCUUUGAGCACUUAAGGAUCUAACUGCAAAAUAUGAUUAGCGUGGAAUCGGAUCUGCCGCCUUCAUCUCUUGGCAGGGCCCCGACUCCCCGUGGCCUUUUUCUUCCUUCCAUAUCUUUCCCUGUGAGCCCACCUUGCCAGUGCUGCUGUAAAUCUGGAGAUACGGGCGAGGAGACGUCUCCUGUUUGGCAGACUCUAGAAGGAAAUGUCCAGCAGGUUUGGAGCCUCAAGGAUCAGCCUGUUUUUAUAGAGAAACAUUAAAAAAACAAAACAAAACAAAAAACUCCUGGAACUGAGCAAGAGAAGUCUCACUUCAAACUGCAAAAAAACACAUUCUUUGCAAAAUGAGCAGAAGC